rnacentral:rRNA from 1 species
CCUACGGGAGGCAGCAGUGGGGAAUUUUGGACAAUGGGCGCAAGCCUGAUCCAGCAAUGCCGCGUGAGUGAAGAAGGCCUUCGGGUUGUAAAGCUCUUUUGUCAGGGAAGAAACGGUCUACUCUAAUACAGUGGGCUAAUGACGGUACCUGAAGAAUAAGCACCGGCUAACUACGUGCCAGCAGCCGCGGUAAUACGUAGGGUGCAAGCGUUAAUCGGAAUUACUGGGCGUAAAGCGUGCGCAGGCGGUUAUAUAAGUCAGAUGUGAAAUCCCCGGGCUCAACCUGGGAACUGCAUUUGAGACUGUAUGGCUAGAGUGUGUCAGAGGGGGGUAGAAUUCCACGUGUAGCAGUGAAAUGCGUAGAUAUGUGGAGGAAUACCGAUGGCGAAGGCAGCCCCCUGGGAUAACACUGACGCUCAUGCACGAAAGCGUGGGGAGCAAACAGGAUUAGAUACCCUGGUAGUCCACGCCCUAAACGAUGUCUACUAGUUGUCGGGACUUAAUUGUCUUGGUAACGCAGCUAACGCGUGAAGUAGACCGCCUGGGGAGUACGGUCGCAAGAUUAAAACUUAAAUGAAUUGACGG